UACGAAGGGGGCUAGCGUUGUUCGGAAUUACUGGGCGUAAAGCGCACGUAGGCGGGCUAUUAAGUCAGUGGUGAAAUCCCGGGGCUCAACCCCGGAACUGCCUUUGAUACUGGUAGUCUCGAGUCCGGAAGAGGUGAGUGGAAUUCCGAGUGUAGAGGUGAAAUUCGUAGAUAUUCGGAGGAACACCAGUGGCGAAGGCGGCUCACUGGUCCGGUACUGACGCUGAGGUGCGAAAGCGUGGGGAGCAAACAGG
rnacentral:rRNA from 1 species